rnacentral:rRNA from 1 species
UACCUGCAGCUCGAGUGGUGAUCGUUAUUAUUGGGCCUAAAACGUCCGUAGCCGGCCUUAUAAAUGCCUGGGUAAAUCGUAUGGCUUAGCCAUACGAAUUCCGGGUAGACUGUUUGACUUGAGACCGGGAGAAGCUAGAGGUACUCCUGGGGUAGAAGUGAAAUUCUGUAAUCCUAGGGGGACCACCAGUGGCGAAGGCGUCUAGCUAGAACGGGUCUGACGGUGAGGGACGAAGCCCUGGGGCGCAAACGGGAUUAGAUACCCCGGUAGUCCAGGGUGUAAACGCUGCUUGCUCGAUGUUAGUCUGGCUCCGAGCCAGAUUAGUGUCGGAGAGAAGUUGUUAAGCAAGCUGCCUGGGAAUACGGCCGCAAGACUGAAACCUAAAGGAAUUGGCGGGGAGCACAGCAACGGGUGGAGCGUGCGGUUU